AAAUUGAAGAGUUUGAUCAUGGCUCAGAUUGAACGCUGGCGGCAGGCCUAACACAUGCAAGUCGAACGGUAACAGGAAGCAGCUUGCUGUUUCGCUGACGAGUGGCGGACGGGUGAGUAAUGUCUGGGAAACUGCCUGAUGGAGGGGGAUAACUACUGGAAACGGUGGCUAAUACCGCAUAACGUCGCAAGACCAAAGAGGGGGACCUUCGGGCCUCUUGCCAUCAGAUGUGCCCAGAUGGGAUUAGCUAGUUGGUGAGGUAACGGCUCACCAAGGCGACGAUC
rnacentral:rRNA from 1 species